CUGGAAAAUGAUCAAUACCAUUUUAAAUGGUUUGAAGGAGAUCAGCUACCUACUUAUGUCAGUGAUUCUCUACAAACUUUGUCAGAAGCUGAUGAAGACGAUGACAUUCAUGAGGACAAAUCCGCAGAAUGGAGUAGCGGUGAUGAAGAUAAUCGAGAUACCGACGAGGACGAUGAAGUUGAUUAAAUAUUUUUUUGAUUUAAUAAUAAUGUUUGACACAUUAUAUUUUUACUUUGUAUUGUAAUGGCUAUAAUUAUAAAUAUAAUUGAAAUCUUUUUCGAUUGGUUCAAUUACGAUCUAAA